rnacentral:rRNA from 1 species
CGUAGGGUGCGAGCGUUGUCCGGAAUUAUUGGGCGUAAAGGGCUCGUAGGCGGUCUGUCACGUCGGGAGUGAAAACUCGGGGCUUAACCCCGAGCCUGCUUCCGAUACGGGCAGACUAGAGGUAUGCAGGGGAGAAUGGAAUUCCUGGUGUAGCGGUGAAAUGCGCAGAUAUCAGGAGGAACACCGGUGGCGAAGGCGGUUCUCUGGGCAUUACCUGACGCUGAGGAGCGAAAGUGUGGGGAGCGAACAGGAUU